UAGGGAAUCUUCCACAAUGGACGCAAGUCUGAUGGAGCAACGCCGCGUGAGUGAAGAAGGUCUUCGGAUCGUAAAGCUCUGUUGUUGGUGAAGAAGGAUAGAGGCAGUAACUGGUCUUUAUUUGACGGUAAUCAACCAGAAAGUCACGGCUAACUACGUGCCAGCAGCCGCGGUAAUACGUAGGUGGCAAGCGUUGUCCGGAUUUAUUGGGCGUAAAGCGAGCGCAGGCGGAAUGAUAAGUCUGAUGUGA
rnacentral:rRNA from 1 species